UUUGUUGAGUUUUUUAAUGAAAAAGGACAAAUAAAUGAAAAAUCUAGAAAGUUAUAGAUAAAAUAAGUGUUUCUUUGUGUUUAUUCAGUUUUAUUUUUUCCUUUUUUAAAAUCAAGUGUUGUUAUCUCAAUUGUAAUAUUGUUAAUGUUAUUAUUAUAAUUAUGGUUAUUGUUACAAAAAUGUUCUGUUAGCAGAAGUCACGUCAAAAUUAAAAACUUGGCACAUAAAAUGGUGAGCGUACUCUAAAACAAGUGGCAAUUAGAUUUUUUUUUUCUUUUUCUGAAUUAAUGUUGAGCUUGACACUGUGUACUGUGUAUGUGUGGAUAUGCGUGUGUGUCCAAUGACCAAACACAAUCCUACAAAGAUCAUGACAUUCAAUCAAGCUAUAAUUCUCUUCCACUUCCAACCGUCUCAUUUCUUAAUGUUACAGCUCUGUUCCUUAAGUGGCACCACAAUGUCAACAUCAUUGCCCUGUUUCCAUGGAAAUAUCUUGCCCAAAUAUUUCAACAUCUAGCACUGAAUAAUCCAGUGUCAACCGAUGAAAAUCCAGUCUAGCGCCUUCCAAAAAGCCCAAUCAAUUUAUGUCAAUACAAAUAUACAACAUAAAAUGAAAAAGGAACCUUGGUCUUUAGUCAAACAUAUGUGUUGGCUUUAUUCUGUCUGUUUUAAACAAGCCUAAUACUUAAUACAUAAUUAAUGUUACUGUGCAAAUGGCUUGUUUUUUCGUGAGUAGUUGAGGGAAGUGACAGACAACAAUCAAAACAAUCAAAUAAUCAGAUAAUUUAGUGAACUUCUUGCUCAACAACCUCACGAACUUUUAUUGUUGCUACUAUAAUUUGAAUUAUUUAUAAAUGUACUAAUACAUAAAUCCAGCCAGUUGUACUGUACUGUAAAAACAUAUCCAUACUCAUUAAUUAAAGCACCCGUGGAAUAGUGUUCAGUCAUGCAGAAAUAAAGAGAAAGAAACACAUGGGUUUUAUUUAAAUUAUGACUUUGAAGGAUACAAAAAUCCUCAAAAAAAAACUGUUAUUUUUCUGCACAAAUAUUAUCAGUUGCAUUUUGCAAUCUAUCAGACUUUCACAGAUGAUACAAGACAAAAGUAGGAGCCUCUGUAGAUGAUAUGCUAGUUUUGUGCCAGUUUAUUAUGGCCCUUUUUAAAAUAAAACUAAAGAAAUCAUUUUUAGUUUGACCUGUCACCCAUUUGAGCUCAGAAUGUACUCUUAGGCAAUUUUUUUCAGUAUAAUAUAUGUGCCUCAACUUAAACAUGUUCUUUUGGGUAUUCCUAUAUUGCCUUUUAUUGUUUAAUGGUAGAAUCAACUAUUACAAAUUAAUUUAAUUACCAGAGUAAUAAGAGUUUACAAAAGUGGCAAACGUGCAUUUUUGCUUAAGAUUUGGUAAAUUAUUUAUUUGUAAAAAAUGUGUCAUAUUGUAAUGAUUAUAUGGGGAUAUAAGUGCAGGAGCAACAGCUUUAGUUCUGGAAUCUUACAAAAAAAAGCAAAUGAAAUCUGAUCGUUUGCCAAAUCUGCAGUCCAAGCAAAGCCAGACAGUCACAAAAUAGUUCCAAACCACAAGAUGAACAGCAAGAAGAUCAGGAGGGCAAGAGGAAGUCAAAGUCAAACACCGGAAAACAAAGCAAACACUCAGAAUGGCAGGACACUCGAUUCUUUGGAAGAGUUCCAUGUGCUGUUCUUCUUGGUCGUUAGCAUCCACCUAAUUGCAUGACGCUCCCCGGAUCAUUACCUCCAUCUGCUGCUUUAAGUGUUGGUGUAAGACUACGGACUGUCUGCGGCUCUGUCCACGUGCUCGCCAAUUGAUAGGAGUUCCCCCUUCUAGAAUGAAACAUUUGGAAAAUAUAGUGAUACCUACACCUGUUCAUUUGUCGAUGUUAGUGCCAGAGAUGUGACUGUGCUUUCUGCUGUUGUAUCACGGUUGUUCCUCUAUUGCCAGUAACGGUAUUGAAAUACAACUGCAGUUGGUAAUCCUUCGACAAAAAUUGCACUAUGUAUGCAUAAGAAUCACAGCAACUGUGGGAAGAAAAAAAUAAAAGGAAAAAAGGUUUUGUAAGCUGGCAGUAAAGCGAAAUAAAAAAACACAGAAAUUGUCAAAUUAACAAUUAAUGUGGUAAAGGGCCUUGUUAAAUAAGGUAAAAAUUUCACUGUCUGCAGUGUGAAAAGUACCUUUGUUUUUCACAGGUGCUUUGUGAUCAACUUACUUAACUGUUAGGCCUAUUUAUAAUGUAAGAUGCUUUAUUUUAGCUUACCUACAACUUCAGGACACUGAUAGCUGAACCUGCAUAUUCUCAUUCUGAAUUAAUAAGGAUCUUGAAUCUAUAGAACAGAAAAUCAUGUUAUAAGUAACCAUUUACACCUUUUCCAAACGGGCUCACAAUGGUUUAUCUGUAAAAGUGGGAAUAUCGGCGAGCAACUAACUAUAUUUUUGUAUUAAAGAAAUUCAGAUCAUUUCACAGAGGAUUUUUUACCCUGUUAAGUAGAAAGAAUAGCAUGCUAAUGUCUAGCCUCAGGUUAGAGGGCAAAUUAUUUCCAUGGCCAAAUAGUUAGGGCUAGCAAACUUUUUUGUAACACAGAGAUAUAAAAGAUUGUUAUCUGAAAAUGCCCAAUCCUCACACACCCAGAAUCCAGACAGGGUUAGUUAUGUGACAGACACAAACAAGCUAAGGUCAAGCACAAUUUGAAGCUUAUUUUAAAUCUGAUGUCAUCCAAACACAGUAAUGUAAUUCAUACUUGUUUCAUGUUUUUCUUUUUCCUUCAGAUGUCGAAUAUUCAUUACACAGGUUCUCUCAAAGUCCCUUGCUACAAACAGCACUCUAACUGUUCUUAAAAAGCACUAUAAUUGCCAGAAAAGGUAAUAAGCGUUUGUGAUACGCAGGUGAUGAAAGGCGGGAUCUUCAGGUAAAUGUGAUAUAAGGCAGUAUCUGCAGUACAGGAUUUAGCACUGUGUCACAGAAAAAGAGACUGCAGAGGUGCAUUUGUGGUACACAAAGUGUUUAAAGGUAAAUGCGCUUAAAGGGAUGGGAUAAGGGAGAUACAGUAGAAGGACUCAUCAAUUUAGUAGAAAAGUUAAUAAAGCAGGAAGGCUAUUGAAUUUAUUUUUUCUGUUUUUCUAUUUAUUUAUUUAACCAAACUGAGUACAAAUGUUAGAUUUUAGAAUUUAUUCAGAUCAGCAAAAAUAAUUUGGGUCGAAAAACAAAGGUAGAUGAUAAUUCAAGUCAUAUAUGUAUUUUUAAGUACAUUAAAGUUCAAUGGUAGACUUGCAUAUCACCUGAAUGAGAACUAAAAAAUAACUAAUUAUUGUACAGUAGGUGACAUUGAAUAAUGGGGUAAUUUUCAAGACAAUGGUCACCUCAACGCAUUCAUUUGGUUACAAAGGAAGGACAUUGAUCACUUAUUGUAAUCAUUUCCUAUACCCUGUCGAUAGAGACAGAAAGCAGACAGGAAUGUGGAGCUGUCUCUGGUGUCUGGGAUGCAUCUUCGUCCUCUCCUGGGCCUCCUCGGAAUCUCGUGUCUUAAAGUUUGUGGCAGUUGUGUUUCGCCACGGGGAUCGCUCUCCUAUUGAGUCAUUUCCCAGCGAUCCUCACAAAGAGGAAAUAUGGGCACAAGGAUUCGGGCAGCUGACAGAGUUAGGCAUGAGGCAGCAGUAUGAACUAGGGCGGUUUUUAAGGAAGCGCUACGCCGGCUUCCUUGGCGACGACUAUGACGCCCGAGAGGUCUAUGUACAAAGCACCGACUAUGACCGUACUUUGAUGAGCGCCCAAGCUAACCUGGCCGGGCUCUUCCCCCCAAAUCGGCACCCCCCCCCCAUUAGCCCCCAACUGCCUUGGCGCCCCAUUCCUGUGCACACCACUCCCAAGUCCCAGGACAAGCUGUUAAAAACACCUGCCAAACAUUGUCCCAGAUUCAGAGAGCUGAUGACAGAAACAUUUUCCAGUGCAGAGUAUCAGAGAGCACUGAAGACUUAUAAGGACUUCAUCCAGGAAAUUUCAAAUCACACUGGUUACCCGGUAGACAGGCUGGUUAUGCGGAAAAUCUGGAGGGUGUAUGACACACUGAACUGUCAGAGAAUUCAUAACCUCACCCUGCCCGGCUGGGCAACCCAGCACGUGUUUAAUACCUUGGAGGAAAUCGCUUCUUUUGAGGUCAUGUACAGUGUGUUCACCUACAAGCGGAAAGACAAGGCCAGACUGGCUGGGGGAGUAUUGUUGAAUGCCAUCCUUGGGAACUUCACGAGCGCUGUGAAGAGGGACAACGAAUUGAAGCUUGUUAUGUAUUCUGCGCAUGACUCCACGCUCAUCACCCUCCAGGCUGCCCUCGACAUCUACAGCGGCCGCCUGCCGCCUUACGCUGCCUGUCAGCUCUUUGAGUUUUACCAGGAGAAAAAUGGGUUCGUAACGUCGCAAGAAAACAUAAAUACAGUACUGGAGUUAUGGGUGCAUGUGUAGCUUUAUUAUUUAAUACAUUAUCCAUCAAUCCUCUGUAACCACUUAUCCAGUACAGGGUUGUCUUGAGCUUAGUGCCAACGUUGGGCAAUUUAGAACGUGGGACAGAAACACUUUAUAUUACCUGCUAUGUUUUAUCAGUCUCUGUUUCAGUGUAUUUUGGGAAACUUUCUACUCGCUCUUCACACAAAGCUUGUGGUAUUGUGCAAUCACUGCAAACCACAUAGCUGCUCAUGGUAUCACAGUGUGGCUCGCUUUAGAACUCCAUCUCAGCCUUUGCUUACGUGAUGCUGGUGGAGGAAAACGUUUCCUGACUCGCUCCUGCAAAAUAUCCCAAAGUGGCUCAAUAAUAUUCAGAUCUGGUGACCGUGCAGACUCUGGGAGAUGUUCAACUUGAAUUUCAUAUUCAUCAUACUACUCUGUCACCAGGAUGUAUUCCAUCUCCUUGUUUUACCGAAAUGACUCAGCCCAUGACCCCUACCCAACCCCUGUGCCCGGCUGUCCUGUAAACCCAUGUCCGCUCAUCAGCUUCACUGAGGUUA